CGUGGACCUAGCAGCACCCGAAGCUUUGCCCAACGAUACUGGCUGAGAAGGAAGUUUGCCUGCGUGGUGUCUGCCAAUUUGGAGGAAGAAAAGGAGCUGCUGCCUGCAUCUGGGCUUCCUCGCAAGGUACUGACGACACUCAAACCCCCAGCUGGUGGGCCUCAUUUGUGUGUGUACGAUUUUUGUGUGCCCCUUAAUGUGUGGAUUUGGGAAAGAGCCCACAUUCUAAUAGGGAUUGCUUAUAACUUUGAAGAAUGCUAUUCUUAAGGCUUAAAUCUGUACAGUUCUGAACUUGUUGCUUUUAGAUCCUUUUCUCCCGUUGGGUGUAAGCUGAAAUUUGUGUUUGUCACAGGUGCUAGGGCUUUGGGCUGCUGUUCUAAUUAUUUAUUUCAAAUUUAGCAGGAAUGCAGAGCGCGUCACCUUGUGAGACUGGAGACUGAUGGAGUCAGGAUAAUGUCAAAGUGCUUACAGUGCAGGUAGUGAUAUGCACAUCUACUGCAGUGCAGGCACUUGUGGCAUUAUGGUGACAGCCGCCUCGCUCGGGAGCCACGGUGGGCGCGGAGUGACAGCGAGGGCCGCCUGCUGGUGCUGAGUGCUUUUUGUUCUAAGGUGCAUCUAGUGCAGAUAGUGAAGUAGACUAGCAUCUACUGCCCUAAGUGCUCCUUCUGGCAUAAGAAGUUAUGUCGUCACCUAAUGGAGUCGAGCAAGCGUGUAGGGGUCUCUUAAUGGUCUCUGUCUGCAGCCCUCUGUUAGUUUUGCAUACUUGCACUACAAGAAGAAUGCAGUUGUGCAAAUCUAUGCAAAACUGAUGGUGGCCUGCUAUUAACUUCAAGUGUUGUGUUUUCCUUUUCCUUUUUGACUAAUGCUGUGCUUUGGUUGUGUCGAUUAGAGUCUGCGUGGUGUGUGUGACAGACAGCUUCUGUGGCACUAAAGUGCUUAUAGUGCAGGUAGUGUCCACUCAUCUACUGCAUUACGAGCACUUCCAGUGCUGCCAGCUGGAGAGCCCCAGCCUCGCUCGCCCGCUUGCCCGCUCGCCCUUCACCCACUCAAACGGUCCUGGUACUGAGCACUGGUCUAUGGUUAGUUUUGCAGGUUUGCAUCCAGCUGUAUAAUACUCUGCUGUGCAAAUCCAUGCAAAACUGACUGUGGUGGUGAAAAGUCUGUAGAACAGUGAGGGAAAAUCAAACCCCUUUCUACACAGGCUGGGAUUUGUUGCAAUGCUGUGUUUCUCGAUGGUAUUGCACUUGUCCCGGCCUGUUGAGUUUGGUGGGGAUUGUGACCAGAAGAUGUGAAAAUUAAAUAUUGCUGAAGAUGCCAUGCCGAUUUCCAUUGUAAAAAUGUUAUGGUGUACGAACUCGUUGUAACUUUUAUUGCUUUCACUAGUGUAACACAAGUUUUUUUAUUGAAAUUAGGUUUUUAGUUUUACUAAACCAUUUCACUUGGGGUUUGCAUGUCUGGUUUACAGGUUUUUUGUGUGUGGGCUUAGAGACCUACAGGUAUUCUGGUAUGUUGUUACAGUGGUGCCCUACUCUUACUUGGAACCUAGAGGGUCCAGGUUUAUUUUACUCAAACCCUUAUUCAAUUGACAGGAGUUAACAAAACUAGUCUUUGAAUCACUGUGUAGAGAGGGUUUUUCUAUUAAAGUGUGACAUUUAGGAUGAGGUUUUUCUGGUGCUACUGUUGCUGAUGCGUGAGAUUGGUGGCAGCAGCUAACAGGUGGUUAGCUCUGUGUUGCUGGUGUGCAUGCCGUGUAAGUAGGACCUUCAAACUGUUAGCAUGUGCUGCCUGAAAAAGCAAAGAUGACGAACAAGGUGCACUGGAAUUCAUAUCAGAAAAUGUUUGCAGUUAGAGUUCCUGUGUCUAGAAUUGGGCAGCACUGUUGGUUCCAGGCUGUGUGAAAAGAUGCCAUUGGAAUGAAACCUAAGAAUAGUCAAAUGAAUAAGGGUGAGCCGUUAAACCAGAUCAGAGCUGAUAGUAUUUAGGCAAGUGUAUAACCCUGAAAAAAGGAUUGUCUUAAUUUGAAAUUUUCAUAGCCUUUGCUUUAGACCGCCCAAAGUUAAGUUUGCUGUCUCUUGUGUUCUGCUUUUUAAAAGAAAUGUAAGAAGCUUAGUCUUGGAUUCCUGAGCAGCAAGGUAAGGACUUUGCAUAUGUGGAGUUGACUGUAAGAUACCAGGUUCAGGAUCAUCAGAAUUGUACAAUGAUUAAGAGUUCUUACACCUUAGGAGUGAAUUAAAGUUGCUUUAGGUGAUUACUUAAACAUUGUUUAACAUGGCAAGUCCUAUAAUAAUAUCAACAUGAUUCAUGUACUUCUAUAUAAAGGGGUUCUAUCAAUUGUGUAUUCUUAGUGUCAUUGGAUGGCAUUUGUGUUUAGAAUGUUGUUGACUUGAAUUGAGAUUUCAUUCUAGUAAGGAAAGUGAUAAAUACAUUUCCUUAUGGGCCUCACAGUAAAGCAGAGUUUUUUCCAAGAUUCUUUUCAGUUUUCACUUAAAAAGUUUGGCUCCACACUAAGAACAUCAAGCAGAUCUAUAAAUUUUGUUUCAACAGAUGGGGAGACCACUUGAUGUCUUGUUUCUAAUUUAAAAACAGAUUAGGUCUUUACACUUUGAUGUUGGUGACUUAGGCCUGAAGGCUUUUUCAGGAAAGGAGACUUACUGUUUUCUUGUAUGUUGAAUGUAAAUAGUUCUUAAGUUUGUCCUAUACUAGGAAGGAGGCACUAUUAAGACUUUACAAAGUGUUGAUUUCACUAAAAGCCCUUGAGAUGUUCGUUUUCACAGGCAAGCCUAAGCACAGAAAACCAACCAGCUGGACUUUUCCUUCCCUGUGCGUGGUUUGAAGAGUCAGUGCUACGUAAUUCCUGACACAGUGCAACCUGCAGCUGCUGGGAGAGAGAACGAUUCAGGGUUACUAAGUCUGUUGUAUGUAUAUGGACUUCUGUUCUGUAACUGACACUAUGUGGUUGUCUGUCCUCAGAGCAUUAGUAGGUGAGUCAGGCUAAGCAGUGGAGAAACUCAGUGGGCAGGGUCCAUUCUGGGUGUCUUAAUGACUGCCAGUGAGCCCCCCGUCACCUUGUAUAGAGGUGUCUGCUUUGUCACAAUUCUGGGCUUUUCUGUUUGGGUAAGCAGUUUAUAUCAUAUUGCUAAUUUAUAAAGGAUCUGCUCAGAAAGUGCCCUGUGAAUUUUAAGGCAUGGAAGAUUGCUGCAGGGUUUCAGGGUCGUCGUCCCCCCCCCACACACACCCCAUUAUCUGACAUGGGCAGAGCCUUCAGAGGUACAGGGCUAGCAUGGUGACAAACUUAGUGUUGUUCAGUGGUGCAUUUAAUCCUAAUAAAUGCUACCUUUUAAACUUCAUGUACAUAAUGAGUAUGUUGAAAUAAAGUUCACUUGUGGCACUGGU